rnacentral:lncRNA from 1 species
GAUUGCCUAAUUACUCUUGCGGGGCUCCUUCUGCUCUCUCCCUUCCGUUUGCUGCAGCCAGGAAUUAUAACCCUGAUUGUUCCAGACUGUUUCUCGGACAUUCACGUGUUUCCCUUAACUGGAGAAGACACCGCGGUGCAGUCGCCUCCCUUCUGGGACUGGAAGAUGAGAUAUUUUGUAAGUUUGUCUCAUCCUCUGAAGCACACGGGGGGGAUGCUUUCCCUUGACCCUUCCCACAGACUCUGUCCUCCUCCUCCGAAUGCACAAACAUUUCCUCUGCGUCCUAUGCUCACCCCUAGAGCGAUAAAGAAUGGCAAUCCAGCCUGAGAUGAGUUUCCCCGCUGUGGUGCAUCUCUUGAAUAUUAAACACAAGCUGUGUUUCUUCAAUCCUCAAGUUUAGUAGAGGUGACUGGCCCCUGAUUCCGAAUGCAUAUGUAUCCAAAGGCAGUAGAAAUGUGUGUGUGACCAAGAGUCAAGUUCUGAGCUUCUAUAAGAGGGAUGAGUGACUAGAAGUGACAAUGAACUCUUCUUCACCAAGGUGCUUCACGGGGCUGCCUUCUGGUAACCUUCAGUGUAAGUUUGGCUCAAAUACCACAAGCUCUGGUUUUCUUCCCCGUUUUUUAAACCAACGUUCAUUGUUUUUAUUUUCUCUUUCCUUGCAUUUUCAAGUGUGCAUUAGGCAAACAUUACAAAAGCACUGAUAAAAUUCUAAGUAAAAGGCAAGGAAAACCAUUCAUGAUCCCAUCGCCCCAAGAACAGUCAAGCUGUUUGCAGAUUUUCCUCACUCUCUUUUGCUCAGAGCCACGUGAAUAUACAACGUCACUGGCAUAAUUACAGCAGAGAGACAUUUUGCAUCCAUUUAUUCCCCUUGCACAUCAUAUGGUAAGCCUUUCUCCAUGUCAUCACAUAGCAUUUAUGUUUAUCUUUCUAGUCUUUGCUUGCUCAUCCCAUUGCGUGAAUAUAAUGUACAUAAUUGACGUAGCCACUUUCCUGCACUUAAUCAAUGUGAAUGGCUUCCAGCCUCUUGCUGUUACAGGAAAGCACUGUGCUUUUCCCUCUGGAAUUAGUUUCUCGUGAUAACUUCCUCAGAGUUUCCUCUCUGUUUUUGCUUUGGAUCCAGAGGUAAAUGCUAUCUUCCUGUUUACAAUGUCUUUUGCGGUCUGAGGGCUGGGAGUCGGGGAACACCUCCUCCCCAGGUGUUCUGGGCCGUGGGAGAUGGACGGGGUGGGAGGGGGGGCACAGGACUUUAUAAAGAAGUGGAGAAAACGCAGUGUGCAGCUAAUUAGCAAGUGCCAUGAAGCAAGUCGGAACUUUAUGGUUUUCCUAGAAUUGAUGACGGUUUCUAAGCAGGCCUGCCCGGUCUCUUGCAGGUGUGCAUGGCCUUCAAGCCCAUAUGGUUUUCGGCUGCGCUGGGCCUCAUUCUUUGUUUAGCCCGUGAUCCUGUAACUGAAUAUCAGUUAAUAACUUUUCAUAAUAACGUAGCUUGGAUCAGCUUCGAGGUCCAGAGAUCUGUCUUUUCCAGACUCCCGCUGCCUCUCUGGCACAGCUGCUGGGAGGGUGAGGGGGCCCUGGCUGUCCCCAGGGCAAGAGCCACAUCCCAGCUCAGGGAGGGCCAGCUGCACAGUCAGCAAGUAGAGAGACCAGUGAACAGAGCUCACCCUCCAGCAGUAACUUAUCUCCUCUGAAUCUGCCAAGAGGGUCCGGGUCCUGGGACU